rnacentral:lncRNA from 1 species
UUUGACUGGUUGCUUCGUCGAUUUCAAAACCCUGUUACAUAUUCGUAUAAUAGAUACAGAGGGAGAAAAUGUCGGGGUCUGUUGCAGCUACUCGGCUGAGAUCAGGUUCUCGUCUGCGCUCGUUGUUUGGAACAACAAAUCUCUGCUUUUCAGUCUCGAAUUCCGCGCUUCGACAAGCUCCCACACCUUCUUCUUUCAGGCGUAUAUUAGCUACAUCUACUAAUGAACCUUUUAUUUUACU